rnacentral:rRNA from 1 species
UACGGGAGGCAGCAGUGGGGAAUAUUGCACAAUGGGCGCAAGCCUGAUGCAGCCAUGCCGCGUGUAUGAAGAAGGCCUUCGGGUUGUAAAGUACUUUCAGCGGGGAGGAAGGGAGUAAAGUUAAUACCUUUGCUCAUUGACGUUACCCGCAGAAGAAGCACCGGCUAACUCCGUGCCAGCAGCCGCGGUAAUACGGAGGGUGCAAGCGUUAAUCGGAAUUACUGGGCGUAAAGCGCACGCAGGCGGUUUUGUUAAGUCAGAUGUGAAAUCCCCGGGCUCAACCUGGGAACUGCAUCUGAUACUGGCAAGCUUGAGUCUCGUAGAGGGGGUAGAAUUCCAGGUGUAGCGGUGAAAUGCGUAGAGAUCUGGAGGAAUACCGGUGGCGAAGGCGGCCCCUGGGACGAGACUGACGCUCAGGUGCGAAAGCGUGGGGAGCAAACG